GAUGAACGCUGGCGGCGUGCCUAAUACAUGCAAGUCGAGCGAACGGACGAGAAGCUUGCUUCUCUGAUGUUAGCGGCGGACGGGUGAGCAACACGUGGAUAACCUACCUAUAAGACUGGGAUAACUUCGGGAAACCGGAGCUAAUACCGGAUAAUAUUUUGAACCGCAUGGUUCAAAAGUGAAAGACGGUCUUGCUGUCACUUAUAGAUGGAUCCGCGCUGCAUUAGCUAGUUGGUAAGGUAACGGCUUACCAAGGCAACGAUGCAUAGCCGACCUGAGAGGGUGAUCGGCCACACUGGAACUGAGACACGGUCCAGACUCCUACGGGAGGCAGCAGUAGGGAAUCUUCCACAAUGGGCGAAAGCCUGACGGAGCAACGCCGCGUGAGUGAUGAAGGUCUUCGGAUCGUAAAACUCUGUUAUUAGGGAAGAACAUAUGUGUACGUAACUGUGCACAUCUUGACGGUACCUAAUCAGAAAGCCACGGCUAACUACGUG
rnacentral:rRNA from 1 species